UACGAAGGGUGCAAACGUUGCUCGGAAUCACUGGGCGUAAAGCGCACGUAGGCGGAUCUUUAAGUCAGGGGUGAAAUCCCAAGGCUCAACCUUGGAACUGCCUUUGAUACUGGGGAUCUCGAGUCCGGAAGAGGUUGGUGGAACUGCGAGUGUAGAGGUGAAAUUCGUAGAUAUUCGCUAGAACACCAGUGGCGAAGGCGGUUGCCUGGAGCUUUGCUGACGCUGAGGCGCGAAAGCGUGGGGAGCGAUCCGG
rnacentral:rRNA from 1 species